ACAUUUCCAGAGCUGAUUGUACAGGUCUGAUGUCCUGGUACAGAACCUGAAAAUCCACCAGUGCUAACCACAUGCAAACUAACAUACCGGACAGCACCCAAGAGGAUAAUCGAGACUUACCACAUUUAGGGUGGGACAACAGCCUGUAAGACUUUCCUUCCGAAAAGCCUGGUACCCAGCCGUCAUGAGGUCUAACCUAUAAUGACAGGAAAAAGGUCGUCAGACUUCUCCAUGUAGCUGCCUUACAAAUUUGGCCUGUAAGGGAAUAGGCAUCUGAGAUAGCUAUUCUCAACCAUCUGGCAAUGGUUCCUCUGGAAGCUUGUCUUCCUUUUUUAUUACCAGCAAAUAAAAUAAAUAAUGCGUC